rnacentral:rRNA from 1 species
AGUGAACGCUGGCGGCAGGCCUAAUACAUGCAAGUCGAACGGCAGCACGGCAGUAGCUUGCUCUGUGGGUGGCGAGUGGCGGACGGGUGAGGAAUACAUGGGAAUCUGCCCAGUCGUGGGGGAUAACGUAGGGAAACUUACGCUAAUACCGCAUGCGCCCUUCGGGGGAAAGCCGGGGACCUUCGGGCCUGGCGCGAUUGGAUGAGCCCCAUGUCGGAUUAGCUAGUUGGCGGGGUAAUAGCCCACCAAGGCGACGAUCCGUAGCUGGUCUGAGAGGAUGAUCAGCCACACUGGAACUGAGACACGGUCCAGACUCCUACGGGAGGCAGCAGUAGGGAAUAUUGGACAAUGGGCGCAAGCCUGAUCCAGCCAUGCCGCGUGAGUGAAGAAGGCCCUCGGGUUGUAAAGCUCUUUUGUCCGGAAAGAAAAGCGCCGGGUUAAUACCCUGGUGUCCUGACGGUACCGGAAGAAUAAGCACCGGCUAACUUCGUG